GGGGUAUUUAUCUUCGGAUAGAGAGACCGGCGCACGGGUGCGUAACGCGUAUGCAAUCUACCUUUUACAGAGGGAUAGCCCAGAGAAAUUUGGAUUAAUACCUCAUAGUAUAUAGACUCGGCAUCGAGAUUAUAUUAAAGUCACAACGGUAAAAGAUGAGCAUGCGUCCCAUUAGCUAGUUGGUAAGGUAACGGCUUACCAAGGCUACGAUGGGUAGGGGUCCUGAGAGGGAGAUCCCCCACACUGGUACUGAGACACGGACCAGACUCCUACGGGAGGCAGCAGUGAGGAAUAUUGGACAAUGGGCGCAAGCCUGAUCCAGCCAUGCCGCGUGCAGGAUGACGGUCCUAUGGAUUGUAAACUGCUUUUAUACGAGAAGAAACACUACUUCGUGAAGUAGCUUGACGGUAUCGUAAGAAUAAGGAUCGGCUAACUCCGUGCCAGCAGCCGCGGUAAUACGGAGGAUCCAAGCGUUAUCCGGAAUCAUUGGGUUUAAAGGGUCCGUAGGCGGUUUAAUAAGUCAGUGGUGAAAGCCCAUCGCUCAACGGUGGAACGGCCAUUGAUACUGUUAGACUUGAAUUAUUAGGAAGUAACUAGAAUAUGUAGUGUAGCGGUGAAAUGCUUAGAGAUUACAUGGAAUACCAAUUGCGAAGGCAGGUUACUACUAAUUGAUUGACGCUGAUGG
rnacentral:rRNA from 1 species